UUUUUUCGUAAUAUUACGACUUUUUUUUCGUAAUAUUAUUACUUUAUUCUGUAAAUCUCAGAUGUUUUUUCCCUCAAUGUGGUCCUAAUACUCCGUAGUACAUUUUGCAUUUGGGCCUCACUGCAUUAGACUUAUAUACUAUAUACUUAAACUAUAAAUUGUGUUACCUUCAUUACAAUGCUCAAAUGCUUUGCGGCUUCACACAGAUUUUUUUUUUAGUUUUUAAACGGCUGUUUUGAUAGUAAAGGUUGCUGACCCCUGUUAUAGAGUAACUAAACCAAUGUGCAUAUUUAGUGGUGUUGAUGGAUUCAGGUCCAAAUCUUGACGUUUUUAGUGCAGUGAAUUCUACAAAGUGUGCAUACUAGUGACUGCCCUCUAUUGGUUGGAACCAGGUGCCAGGUGACGUAUAUGGUGCCAGGUGACGUCACACAGUAGCCAGAAUGGGUCGUCAGUGUUGCUCUCCGGGCUGCAGAAACACCUCCGGGCUGCACAGCUUCCCAGCAGACCGAGACAUCAGGCAGCUGUGGUUGCGGGCACUGAGUCUACCGGCGGACCGGGAGCUGCCACCGAGAGCAGGAGUUUGCAAUCGUCAUUUUUCCCGGGAUUGCUACUCCAACCUCAUGGAGGUGGAGAUGGGUUUCUCUAAAGUGCCCAUGCUGAAAAGCGACGCGGUGCCAAACGUUGCUCUCCCGGUACCGACAACAGGACCACCGUCACAGCAGCUGCGCCUACUGCUGCCAGCAACUCCCACGCAUUUUCAGGGCACCAGUGGCAGUUUCUGUCGAAUUAUGCCCGAUGUAAGACACGUAGCCUCCCAGACUGACACCCCAGAGAGAACAUCUGUCCGAAGUAAAGCGACCCAGGCGAGAGUGCCCAGCAGAGAUUGCGGCAUGUGCACCCUCACCUUCCCGUUGGACAGUCCACUACUGUUCCUACAACCAAUAAUAGCAAAGAGACCAUCCAAGAGACCUCGACUCAGCCUCACAGACGAGGAGGAAGGCCCUUCACGAGGCAGCUCGUCUACGGUGGUUCAUGAACCAGAGGAUUCAACGUGAUGCUGUGGACUCUGUCACUGUCGUGAAAAGUGUCAUCAAACAGGAAAAGGUGGAGCUUAUGUUGUGUGACUGAGCUCAAUGCAGAGGGAGCCAUGGCAGAAACAAGCCUGGGUGUUUUUGGUGCGGUGAAGACCACCCUACAGAGUGCAGCAGCAGCUUUUGCUUUUGGUGAAGCUGCAUUAUUUGCAGUGCAGCCUGCGCUGACUGAAGAUGGCGUCCUGCUGACUGCUGCCACCCUGGCUGCUCGACAAACCGGAUCCACGGGUGUUGGGGUCGUCGCGGCGUGCCUCGUGUUCACCUCCGUGCUCAUUUCUCUGGGGAGUGGUUUCCUCCUCGCUGCCAUGGCGAUGAAGCUGCUGACUAAAGCUGGAGUGAGGUUGCCGUGGUUAGCGGAGGCCACGACGGGAGCCUCUGUUGUGGUGGGAGCUGUCGCUACUGGAGUGUUAGCAGGCGUCAUUCCACCGUGGAUCUACAUCGCAGCCCAAGGCAUUCUGGUCCUUGUAGUGUACUCGUACUCCAACAUUAACGACAUGACCACAGCUCUGCUGAUCAUCUUCACCACUCUCUACAUCAGUGUCGUAUAUGGGAGAAUGGGUGUCAUGGUCGGACUCUUCGUCAUGGGGUUGACCAUCUCUGUGCUUUGUGCCCUUCGGAAGGCUCUGACAGAGAGGAUGACACAAAGACCAAAACCUAAAAGCAGGUGCCAACUUCUGGAGAGGAUAUUCUUCUACUCUGUUUUUGUGGGGAUACUGGGGUUUUCAGUCGGUUUGGGCGCAGGCGGAGUAGGGGAAGGGUCUGAAGUAGAGAUGGUUUUGAUACUGCAGUCGGUCCUCUGGGUGGCGUUCCUGUCUGCAGGGCUGCUAGGAGCUGGCCUGGGAACGGUGGCCACGGCCGGGCUGGGGCCAGAGGUGGCUGGAAAGCUCGCCGUGGGAGCUGCUGUAAUAUCAUCAAUCGCCCUGAGAGCCAUUGUGCAGUUCAGCUCUUCUCUCGGGACCCGAAGCAGCAUGGGGGGGACGUUAGGAGCAGCUACAGCAGCAGGGGUGUCACUCGGAGCUGCAAGCGUCGCAGCAAAACAGGCGUUCGGGUCUAGAAAUUCAACUUUAGUCGCUUUAGGUUCAGUCGUCGUCGGUGCAAUUGUGGCAACGCGAGGCGUAGCGCUGAACGCGGCUCUCCUGACAACAUCAGAAGUUAUAACAAUCACCCUCGUUGCAGUGGGGGCGUUUGUUCUGGGUGCACCAAAAAGCCCGUUCAACACUCAGGUGAAUCUACAAAGGGGCCUCCUCACGGGGCCGGAGCUAAUUAAAGGUAUCGGCAUGGAGACGGUCACCGCAGCAGCAGCACCUAUCGGAGCCGGGGCACUCGGGGCCGCAGCGCUGGGUACCGCCGCUCUGGGGAGACUGGGGACUGUGGGAGUUCUGGCGGCUAUAGUGUUGGCUUUGGGAAGUGCUCUUAGUGGCAUGAUAGGAAAAUCACCGCCGACAACCAACGCACACACAGACUGAUUGACGCCUCAGUUUAGAUCUCUGUCUGAACACAAGGCCAAACAAUAAAGAAGAGUGCAUGUGUGUGUGUGUGUGUGUGUAUGUAUGUGUAUGUGUGUGUGUGUGUAUGUAUGUAUGUAGGUAUAUGUGU